UAAAUUAUAGCUUAUAUAAAGUAUUUCAUUUACAUUGAAAAGAUAUUGUUAAAUCAUUUAAUUUAA
rnacentral:tRNA from 1 species